ACGACCUUACUUGAACAGGAUCUGUUCUAUAGGCUCGUACCAUUGUAUCCUUAAAUUCUAAGGAGACAGGAAUUCAAGUCUGGUUGAUGAAGCAUGGCCAUGUGACUGGAGCGUGAUUGACAGCCUUCCUUAGCUCCUCGAGCUGUGGAUGCAGUAGAUGAUCGUUUUUAGACUUGAUCUCAGGCCUAAGAUGGUCUCAUGGCUGUCUGACAGACU
rnacentral:snoRNA from 1 species